rnacentral:tRNA from 1 species
GUCCCAUUCUUCUAGCGGCCUAGGAAGAUCGACUCUCCAUCGAUUAACAUCGGUUCGAAUCCGAUAUGGGACUCCA